rnacentral:tRNA from 1 species
GCCCUCGUAGCUCAGUGGAUAGAGCGUUGGGUUGCGGACCCAAAGGCCGCAGGUUCGAAUCCUGCCGAGGGUA